GGAUUACUUUAGUACGGCGAGUGAACCGGGAAAAGCUCAAAUUUGUAAUCUGGCUGUCUUCGAUAGUCCGAGUUGUAAUCUAUAGACGUGUUUUCCGUGCUGGAUCGUAUCUAAGUCCCUUGGAACAGGGUAUCAAAGAGGGUGACAAUCCCGUGCUUGAUACGACGACCAGUGCUCUGUGAUACACGUUCUACGAGUCGAGUUGUUUGGGAAUGCAGCUCAAAAUGGGUGGUAAAUUCCAUCUAAAGCUAAAUAUUGGCGAGAGACCGAUAGCGAACAAGUACCGUGAGGGAAAGAUGAAAAGCACUUUGGAAAGAGAGUUAAACAGUACGUGAAAUUGUUGAAAGGGAAACGAUUGAAGUCAGUCGUGUUCUUCAGAUUCAGCUGGUUCUUCCAGUCUACUUCUGUUGAACGGGUCAACAUCAGUUUUGUCCGGUGGAUAAAGGUAGUAGGAAUGUGACUCCCCCGGGAGUGUUAUAGCCUAUUAUUGCAUACACUGGGUGAGACUGAGGACUGCAGCUCGCCUUUUGGCCGGUCUUCGGACACGUUCGAGCUUAGGAUGUUGACAUAAUGGCUUUAAACGACCCGUCUGAA
rnacentral:rRNA from 1 species